rnacentral:rRNA from 1 species
UACAGAGGGUGCAAGCGUUAAUCGGAAUCACUGGGCUUAAAGCGUUCGUAGGCGGGCUUGCAGGCGCGUUGUGAAAGCCCCCGGCUCAACCAGGGAACUGCUCGGUGAACCGCACGUCUUGAGGCAAGUAGAGGCUGUCGGAACGAUAGGUGGAGCGGUGAAAUGCGCAGAUAUCAGGAGGAACACCGGUGGCGAAGGCGGGUCUCUGGGCCGAUACUGACGCUGAGGAGCGAAAGCGUGGGGAGCGAACAGG